GAUGAACGCUGGCGGCGUGCCUAAUACAUGCAAGUCGAGCGAACAGACGAGGAGCUUGCUCCUCUGACGUUAGCGGCGGACGGGUGAGUAACACGUGAUAACCUACCUAUAAGACUGGGAUAACUUCGGGAAACCGGAGCUAAUACCGGAUAAUAUAUUGAACCGCAUGGUUCAAUAGUGAAAGACGGUUUUGCUGUCACUUAUAGAUGGAUCCGCGCCGCAUUAGCUAGUUGGUAAGGUAACGGCUUACCAAGGCAACGAUGCGUAGCCGACCUGAGAGGGUGAUCGGCCACACUGGAACUGAGACACGGUCCAGACUCCUACGGGAGGCAGCAGUAGGGAAUCUUCCGCAAUGGGCGAAAGCCUGACGGAGCAACGCCGCGUGAGUGAUGAAGGUCUUCGGAUCGUAAAACUCUGUUAUUAGGGAAGAACAAAUGUGUAAGUAACUAUGCACGUCUUGACGGUACCUAAUCAGAAAGCCACGGCUAACUACGUG
rnacentral:rRNA from 1 species